GCCUGGGUGGCUCAGUCGGUUAAGCGUCGGACUUCGGCUCAGGUCAUGAUCUCGAGGUCCGUGAGUUCGAGCCCCACAUCAGGCU
rnacentral:tRNA from 1 species